rnacentral:rRNA from 1 species
UACGGAGGAUGCGAGCGUUAUCCGGAUUUAUUGGGUUUAAAGGGUGCGCAGGCGGCACGGCAAGCCGGCGGUCAAAUCGCGGGGCUCAACCCCGCCCAGCCGUCGGAACUGCCGGGCUAGAGUGGGCGAGAAGUGCGCGGAAUGCGUGGUGUAGCGGUGAAAUGCAUAGAAAUCACGCAGAACUCCGAUUGCGAAGGCAGCGCACCGGCGCCCUACUGACGCUCAGGCACGAAAGCGUGGGUAUCGAACAGG